CUAGAAUUACAGACCGUCAUGGGUGUGCUUCUCGCCAUCACCUGAAGACUGGCACAUUGGAGGCUCUGGGGGGCUCACACCAGACCUUUCCCUAACACCGCCUACCAAAGUGGAGACACGGGUGUGAUGUGUAUGUGGAUGCGAGUACAAGUCCAUGGAGGUCAGGAGCCUUCUUCCUCACUUUCCACCUUCUAUUUUGAGACAGGGUGUGGAUAUAUGAGCAAGAAAUGUCCCCCA